CUCUGCUCAAUGGACUGUGACUCUGGACACAAGCGGAGAGAGGGCAGGUCUCUGGACUUCCAUGACAGUGCUUCCAUAUCCAUGGGUCCUCUGAUGUUGUCUGGAGGGAACACAGAUAAGUGGGUCCCAGAUCAAGUGAAGGUAUCUGAGGCUUCUUGUCUGUGUGGUUCUCUGAUGGUGUUUCUUGUUCCUCUGAUGAGUGUCCUGACACACUUUUAGUUUAUAACCACAACAUUUGACAUGCAUAUUGUCUAGAGUCAUUUUAAUUCAUGUGGAAUUUGAUGCAACACUAAUAUAACUAAUAUUUUAUACAGAAUAAUAAAUGAAUUAUUAUUUAAUCAUUUAUGUUUUUACAUAGUACAUUCAUUCUGUAUUACCUGAGGGGUUGUGCGACAACAACAAAGACCAUCAGAUUCAUGUUUAACUAAAGG